rnacentral:rRNA from 1 species
UACAGAGGCCCCAAGCGUUACUGAGAAUCACUGGGUUUAAAGGGUGCGUAGGUGGUCCGUUAAGUUCGUUGUGAAAUCCCUGGGCUCAACCCAGGAAAUGCUUCGAAUACUGGCGGACUUGAGGCUAGUAGAGGUCACUGGAACUGACGGUGGAGCGGUGAAAUGCGUAGAUAUCGUCAGGAACGCCGAUGGUGAAGGCGGUUCUCUGGGCCUGUACUGACGCUGAGGAGCGAAAGCGUGGGGAGCGAACAGG